AUGUCUUCUCAAAGUAACCACUGUGGAGGAAGUCUGUGUGGACAGAUGGGCUUCACACCCUCCCCUAAAGGUCGACCAGUUGCUGGUGUCACAUGGGCAUCUCUCUCAUCUCCCAGAUUGAUGGUAUCAUCGAGGACUUCCCACAUAAACAAGAUAAACGAAAGGCUUCCACCGACAGGUGGGAAAACUUUGGACAUUGGAAACUUCUGUGCCCAGUGA
rnacentral:lncRNA from 1 species